UACGUAGGGUGCGAGCGUUAAUCGGAAUUACUGGGCGUAAAGCAUGCGCAGGCGGUUUUGUAAGCCAGAUGUGAAAUCCCCGGGCUCAACCUGGGAAUGGCAUUUGGGACUGCAAGGCUCGAGUGCGGCAGAGGAGACUGGAAUUCCUGGUGUAGCAGUGAAAUGCGUAGAUAUCAGGAGGAACACCGAUGGCGAAGGCAGGUCUCUGGGCUGACACUGACGCUCAUGCACGAAAGCGUGGGGAGCAAACAGG
rnacentral:rRNA from 1 species